AGGCAUCUUUGUAUGCUCAGCGUCAGCAACAAAAAUGGCAUAUCUGCUAAUUCGUAACCCCCUCCACCGCUCGCGAUAAAUCUACAGCAUUCUCCAGUUGUGAUAAGUGUCUACUAAGCACACUGCUCAGCUCAGGCCUCAGCCUCAGCCUCAGCCUCAGCAGCAAACUACAACGAACCCCCUGGCUUCUUAAUUCUUGACCCAGCCCUGUCUCUGCUCUGCUUCUUCUUCUUCUUGGUCUCAGAUCCACCAGCAGCAGAAGGACUAGAAGAUGCAGUACAAGAACCUGGGACGUUCAGGGCUCAAGGUCAGCCAGCUCUCCUAUGGGGCCUGGGUCAGCUUCGGCAACCAGCUCGACGUUAAAGAAGCCAAGUCCCUCCUCCAAUGCUGCAGAGACAACGGCGUCAACUUUUUCGACAACGCCGAGGUCUACGCCAAUGGCCGGGCCGAGGAGAUCAUGGGUCAGGCCAUCCGCGAGCUCGGCUGGAAGCGAUCCGAUAUUGUCGUCUCCACCAAGAUCUUCUGGGGCGGCCCCGGGCCCAACGACAAGGGCCUCUCCCGCAAGCAUAUCGUGGAGGGCACAAAGGCCUCCCUCAAACGCCUUGACAUGGAGUACGUCGAUGUGAUCUACUGCCACCGCCCGGACUCGUCCACGCCCAUCGAGGAGACCGUGCGCGCCAUGAAUUACGUGAUCGAUCACGGGUGGGCAUUCUAUUGGGGCACCAGCGAGUGGUCGGCGCAGCAGAUCACUGAGGCGUGUGGCGUCGCGGAGCGCUUGGAUCUCGUCGGCCCCAUUGUGGAGCAGCCGGAGUACAAUUUGUUGUCUAGGCACAAGGUUGAAUCUGAAUACCUGCCUCUAUAUAGCAACUAUGGCCUGGGUCUUACAACAUGGAGUCCACUUGCAUCUGGAGUGCUGACUGGAAAAUACAGCAAGGGAAACAUACCGGCUGAUAGUCGGUUUGCACUAGAAAAUUACAAGAAUCUUGCCAGCAGAUCACUGGUUGAUGAUGUGCUGAAGAAGGUUAAUGGACUGAAACCAAUUGCGGAUGAACUGGGUGUGCCUUUGUCUCAACUUGCAAUUGCUUGGUGUGCUUCAAAUCCUAAUGUUUCAUCUGUUAUUACUGGUGCUACAAAGGAGGCCCAGAUACAGGAGAACAUGAAGGCUGUAGAUGUCAUUCCAUUACUGACUCCUGCUGUGCUGGAGAAGAUAGAGGCUGUUGUUCAAACCAAGCCAAAGCGUCCCGACUCAUACAGAUGAAUGCAACACUUACAAAUCAAUAGCUACUACUUGGUGCAUCUCUUCGCAGAUAUGUUGUUCCAAUUUAUUUUUUAUUGACUAGCUAUGAAUCAUGGAAUUGAAGGAAUGCGAGUUAAAGGAAGCCUGCCAGGAAUUGCAGACGGGCUAUGUUGAGAUAUUGUUGACCUUCUCAACACUCCCCCGCAAGUUGGAGAGUGAAUGUCAAGAACUUCCAACUUGUGCAUCAUAGUUGAGAAAACUUCCUUUCCCAAUGGUUUGGCGAACAAAUUUGCAAGUUGGUCCCUUGAAGCAAGUUACAAUUGAACCGUCUUGUAUUUUGUCAUGAAUAAAAUGACAAUCCAUCUUUGUGUCUGGUUCUUUCAUGGAAAACGAGAUUGACUGCUAUAUGUAAGGCGGUUGUGUUAUCACAAUAUAACAAUGUUGGCUUCAGAUGCAAUAUUAAGUGUAACUAGAAUGAUUCAAGGCAUGUAUUUAUCAUGACUCUAUAUUCGACUUUUGCUGAGGAGAGAGAUGAUUUUUUGCUUCGUUUCAUAAAUAUAUUUAUAGUUGAAGAGCACUUACA